GCCUCUAAGCUUGCCUUCGAG
rnacentral:snRNA from 1 species